GAUAAACGCUGGCGGCGUGCUUAACACAUGCAAGUCGAACGAAGUUUUUCUUUCGGGAGGAACUUAGUGGCGGACGGGUGAGUAACGCGUGGGUAACCUGCCCUGUACAGGGGGACAACAGCUGGAAACGGCUGCUAAUACCGCAUAAGCCCUUAGCACUGCAUGGUGCAUAGGGAAAAGGAGCAAUCCGGUACAGGAUGGACCCGCGUCUGAUUAGCCAGUUGGCAGGGUAACGGCCUACCAAAGCGACGAUCAGUAGCCGAUCUGAGAGGAUGUACGGCCACAUUGGGACUGAGACACGGCCCAGACUCCUACGGGAGGCAGCAGUGAGGAAUAUUGCACAAUGGAGGAAACUCUGAUGCAGCGACGCCGCGUGAGUGAAGAAGUAUUUCGGUAUGUAAAGCUCUAUCAGCAGGAAAGAAAAUGACGGUACCUGACUAAGAAGCACCGGCUAAAUACGUG
rnacentral:rRNA from 1 species